UGAUGAGGGCGUGUGUGUGUUGAUGUGUGUGUGUUUGAAAGUGCAAAAGUCUGUAUAUUGCUGUGACUGCGAAUGUGCGUGUAAAAGAAAAAAAUAUGUUACACAUAUGUCAUUGGUUAUGAAUUGUACCGAUGAUGUGAAUAUAGUUGCUGCUGCUCCUGCUGCUGAUGAUCGAUAUAAGACCACGUGAUUAUGAACCGUGGGCACAGAACUAUAUAAAGGGGGCGCACACUAUCUGCCAUAACUAUUCCUUUGAUCAGUCUCAGCUUCGGGUGAUUUCUUUGUCUCAACGACAAAUUUUUCCGGUACAUUGAUACAGUACGUACUGUAACACUUGAUAACCAGAAAAAAACUAAAUAAAUAAACUUUUUUCUCAAUUUGACGACUUUGCAUCGGGCUGUCAACUUGGGCCUCAGUUUUUGAUUCCAACACGGUGCUGGAUGAUAUAUCGUUUUGAUGAAAACAUGGAAAAAUUAAACCUUAUUACAGACAAAAAUAUUGGAAAACGGCGUUUACCUAACACCAGCAAAAUGAAUUUCAGCUACAGCUUAAAUUCGGAAGGAUUACGAAUUCUAUGGCCGUUGCCACCUGGAUAAUAAUGGAACAGUGAAGAAUGCCUCGAACAAAAAGUGAAAUACCAUGGCGGAAACGUACAUCAACACUAGAAAUUGUAAAAGGAACUUCUUUGUAUUAUCGCGUGAUUCACUCAAAGACCUGCGAACCAGCUACAUUCGACACUCAUGGAUAUAGAAUUCUCAACGAACAGUUAGUAAUUAAUAGUUAGCGAUAAUUAUCAUCUUUGCUGUGUAUAUUGACGUUACUAUUGCUUUGUAUUUCUUAUCAGAUCCACUUGUGUCUGAUCCUUGUUGUAAAUAGUCUGGUAUAUGGUUAAACUAAACUAUGAUAAUAGCUUAUUUUCGGACUUUUGGUUCAAUAUAAUAGUUAAAUAAGAUAAUAUAGAUAUGUUUUUGUCAUCUUAUCUUUAUGAAUAAAAUUCCUUUUAGGUACA